rnacentral:rRNA from 1 species
UACGGAGGAUGCGAGCGUUAUCCGGAUUUAUUGGGUUUAAAGGGUGCGCAGGCGGUCUGUUAAGUCAGCGGUCAAAGCCCGGGGCUCAACCCCGGCCCGCCGUUGAAACUGGCAGUCUCGAGUUGGAGAGAAGUAUGCGGAAUGCGCGGUGUAGCGGUGAAAUGCAUAGAUAUCGCGCAGAACUCCGAUUGCGAAGGCAGCAUGCCGGCUCCACACUGACGCUGAGGCACGAA